GGAGCAAAAGAGACAGGGAAACGCCCCAGAAAUCCUUCCAGAGGGGUGCGGCCCAAGGCUAGAAAAGGAGGGUGGAACCGAGGCCUGUGUUUAGAAUAGGAAAGAAGCCGACAGAAGUGCGCCACCUAGAAGACACCACCUGCAAACAAAUACAAUGGGCCAAAUCUACUGCUAAAAUAUAUAAAAGAUUUCACCUAGUCCAUAUACUGUAGCUGUGGAUGAACGGAGCUCUCCAUAUUAUGCUUUACGAGAUUGCCAAGGUAAUGCCAUCGUGGUCGCUGCCUGUGAUAUUGAUGGAAGUACCUGAAUUGACCUACCAUGUGGGGGGGUCUUCAAAGCCGCAAAAAGAGCUGAAGUCACGAAAAGACCCGAAGUUGAAGUCCUGAAGCCUUGAAAGGACCCAAAGCCAGGAAAGGAAGCGGCUGGGAGGAUUAUCUGCAAAGCUUCUGGAUAAUUUUUGGAGCAGCUGGAUUAUCUUCAAAACAAUUGGGAGGAUUAUCUUCAGAGAUGCAGGGAGGAUUAUUUUCCGAGCGGAUGGAAAAAUUGUAUUCAGAAGGACUAAGAUGAUUCUCUGCAGAGCGUCUGGGAGGAGUGGUUGGAUUAUCUUCAGAAUGGUUGGAUUAUCUUCAGAGCGGCUAGGAGCAUUACUUUAAGAACAGCUGGAUUACCUUCAGAGCAGCUGGAUUAUCUUCAAUGGAUUAUCUGCAGAAAGAGCGCCACUGCCAACAUGCUGUUUUGACUGUAGAGAACAACCCGGAUGCACCCAAAGAAGGAGAGAGCAAUGGAGGGGAGGAGAAUGCGAUGAAGGGAAUAUACAAAUAAG